GAAACUGAAAAUAAACCGAAGCCCCAAAACGCAGCGUAGCAGUGGACUAAAUUGAAACAAAAAUAAUAUUAUGGGGCUAAAUUAAAAAUAAAAGGAAAUGAUGAAAUAGGACCAAAUUGAAACACACCGCGAAUCGGAGGGACUGCGCGAGCAAAUAUCCCCCUAAGCGAAAACACGCGGAUCCUCCCCUCGGGUCGGGUUACCGCGCGGGUCAGGGCUUGUCAAAACGGCGGCGUUUCACAACUCUUAUUUAAGUUAAUUUUUCAACAAAAAAUUUCAUUUAGCAGCAGAAAUAAAAAAAAGGGGGGCCUUUCUCUGUUUUUUUCAAAAAGACGAUGCUCCCCUCUUUCCCUUUGAAUCCGGCCACGGCGCCGGUGAACUCGCGCGAAGGCCUCACCGUAGCCUCGCCGCGGCUUUGCCGUGCCGGAAAAUAUAUGAAAAAGGUCCUUCCCCCUUUAGUCCGUUUCUCCUUUGAUGCGGCAGAAAUGAAACCUCAAAGGGUUUCUAAGGCUUUGGUGCACCGAGAAGGGCUCCAGCGGUGGCGCGACGCGAACAGAAGGUACCCCCUUUUAACUCUCUUUUAUUUUUAAGGAAUAAAUCGAAAUAAAAUGCCAACAUAAAAGAAAACAGAGAAAACAGAGAAAUCCGAAGGUAAAAUCACCUUGAAUAAUUUUUAUUUUUGUUCUUGAUGUAGGUUUUUCGAUACAAAGAUAAAAAGAAAAAAAAAACAAAAGAAAAAAAAGGCCUCUAAAAAUUAUUCUUUUCGGCUUUUAUAGCCGAAUCUUCUUCUGUUGUUGUUGCCGCUGCUUCUUGUUUGUUUUUUUCUUCCUUGCAGGUGACUGGCGGCGCAAGUGGACGAUGGGACGUCCGGCGAGGCAACGGCGGCGAUGGCAGAAGGCCAAAAGUCAUAAAAUGCGGCGCCUAGGGUUUCAGUUUCUGAAACCUAGGCAGAUAUUUUUUAGGGAAAUUGGGCCUGGGCUAUUGGGCUCCGGGAUUGGGUUAGUGUUUAGGAGGGUUGGGUUUAGGUUAUUUUACGUUGGGUCAUUUAAUUUUGGUAAUGGGCCCGGGCAAAAAAUGGGCUUGUACAGAAAUAAAAUGGAUUAAAACUAAAAACUAAAACCACCACAGCUUUUCUUUUAGAUAAGACACAGUGGAUUAUUAUUUAUUUACGAGCUUUCAUUCAGUGAUGCCCAAUGGGUCUAAUCCUCCAUGGAAACCACUGCGAAAGUGGUUGAAAAUGCAGAAACCAUACUAAUGUCGACUUAAGAAAUUGGAAAAAUAAAACAAAGGGAAAUUAGAAGAAAGCAAACCUAGCCUCUGGGUAUUGGUGUGCUGGAAGAGAAAUGGACAGCAAAAAUGGUGGAUUUUCUCGAUUCGACUGAAAAUCUGAGAUUGAGAAAUGAGAACCCGAUGGCUGAUUUGUCAUUUGUUACUUUGUGUUGCUGUUACCUGUACGUGCUAAGGUUUGGUUCUUGGGCUUGGAGCCUGGAUGAGGGAAAAUAAAUUGGGCUGGCUGGCUGGGUUUAAUUUAAGGCCCAUUACCCUGCAAAGUUCGGUUAAACCGAAAAAAUUCGGUUAAUCGACCGGUUUCGAACCGAUUUAACUGUUAACCGAAAAUUUAAAAAAAUUUUAAUUGACUCCCAACUGAAAAAAUUUGGUUAACUAGCCGAUUAACUGAAUUCGGUCGGUUGAUUGAAUUUUUUCUGUUUUACCUAAAUUUUGCACACCCCUAUCUAUGCCUCUAUCUUAAGAGGCAAUCAUGCUCCGAUUGUCAAAAACAAAUUAUCUCUUCAAUUAGACGUAUAGACAAUGAAAUAGUCCUAACAAAUAUGAAUAUUGUACUACUAUAUUAGUUUCUUGAAAAACAAAUUCAUAUUUUUGGACGAUUUUUAGAGGAUCAUAUUUUUAUACUUGUAUCCAAAUUUUCAAAUGGCUCUUUAAUUAUGUAAAUAAUUUCGAACACUCUAUUGUUACAUAAGAUGAAAAAAAACCUUGAAAAUAUGGCAUAAAAAGCGACUCAAAUACAAUUAGAGUAGAUGUGUCAAAAAGAGUUGGAUUAGAC
rnacentral:lncRNA from 1 species